rnacentral:rRNA from 1 species
CGAGGUAGAUAGGUUGGAGGUGGAAGUGCAGCAAUGCAUGGAGCUGACCAAUACUAAUCGGUCGAGGGCUUAUCCUAAAA